rnacentral:rRNA from 3 species
CGAAUUGCUUGACGACCAUAGAGCGUUGGAACCACCUGAUCCCAUCCCGAACUCAGUAGUGAAACGACGCAUCGCCGAUGGUAGUGUGGGGUUUCUCCAUGUGAGAGUAGGUCAUCGUCAAGC